GAGUUUGAUCCUGGCUCAGGAUGAACGCUAGCGGGAGGCUUAAUACAUGCAAGUCGAGGGGCAGCAUAGGACUUCGGUUCUGAUGGCGACCGGCGCACGGGUGAGUAACGCGUACACUACCUACCUUUAACAGAGGGAUAGCCCUGGGAAACUGGGAUUAAUACCACAUAGUAUUGCGUAUUUUAUUUUUAUGCAAUUAAAGCUCCGGCGGUUAAAGAUGGGUGUGCGUUAGAUUAGCUAGUUGGUAAGGUAAUGGCUUACCAAGGCUCCGAUCAGUAGCUGGUCUGAGAGGACGACCAGCCACACUGGGACUGAGACACGGCCCAGACUCCUACGGGAGGCAGCAGUGGGGAAUUUUGGACAAUGGGGGCAACCCUGAUCCAGCCAUGCCGCGUGAGUGAAGAAGGCCUUCGGGUUGUAAAGCUCUAUCAGCCGGAACGAAACGGUCACGGUUAAUACCCGUGACUACUGACGGUACCGGAAGAAGAAGCACCGGCUAACUACGUGCCAGCAGCCGCGGUAAUACGUAGGGUGCGAGCGUUAAUCGGAAUUACUGGGCGUAAAGCGUGCGCAGGUGGUUUUGUAAGUCAGAUGUGAAAUCCCCGGGCUUAACCUGGGAACUGCGUUUGAAACUGCAAGGCUAGAGUGUGGCAGAGGGAGGGAGAAUUCCAUGUGUAGCGGUGAAAUGCGUAGAUAUGGGAAGGAAUACCAGUGGCGAAGGCGGCCCUCUGGAUCGAUACUGACGCUGAGGUGCGAAAGCGUGGGGAGCAAACGGGAUUAGAUACCCCGGUAGUCCACGCCGUAAACGAUGUCUACUAGCCGUUGGAGAACUUGAUUCUUUAGUGGCGCAGCUAACGCACUAAGUAGACCGCCUGGGGAGUACGGUCGCAAGAUUAAAACUCAAAUGAAUUGACGGGGGCCCGCACAAGCGGUGGAGCAUGUGGUUUAAUUCGAUGCAACGCGAAGAACCUUACCAGGUCUUGACAUCCUGCGAAUUUUCUAGAGAUAGAUUAGUGCCUUCGGGAACGCAGUGACAGGUGCUGCAUGGCUGUCGUCAGCUCGUGUUGUGAAAUGUUGGGUUAAGUCCCGUAACGAGCGCAACCCUUAUCCUUAUUUGCCAGCACGUAAUGGUGGGAACUCUAAGGAGACUGCCGGUGACAAACCGGAGGAAGGUGGGGACGACGUCAAGUCAUCAUGGCCCUUACGACCUGGGCUACACACGUGCUACAAUGGAACGCACAGAGGGCAGCAAUAGCGCGAGCUGGAGCCAAUCCCACAAAACGUUUCGUAGUCCGGAUUGGAGUCUGCAACUCGACUCCAUGAAGUCGGAAUCGCUAGUAAUCGUGAAUCAGAAUGUCACGGUGAAUACGUUCCCGGGCCUUGUACACACCGCCCGUCACACCAUGGGAGUGGGUUGCAAAAGAAGUGGGUAGACUAACCUUCGGGAGGUCGCUCACCACUUUGUGAUUCAUGACUGGGGUGAAAACGUAACAAGGUAACC
rnacentral:rRNA from 1 species